AGGUCUGGACAGUUGCAAUCUU
rnacentral:miRNA from 1 species